CGCAUAAGAUUGAUUUAAUCCCAAUUCCCUCUGAUUCCAAUUUUGAGAAAUUUGCUCUCCCCCCAAAUCGCAUAAGAUUGAUUUAAUCCCAAAAUCCUUUAAACCUAAUCUAUUAUUUUUCUCUCCAUCCACGCACAUAAGAUACCUCUUACCCCUUUUCACGAUGAUGACAGUUUCGGGCCUUCAACCGACGGUUAGAUUUAAGAUUUCGACUGGUGGUGGUGGAUCGAUGCUAACAUUCAACCAUCACGGACUAUGUGAAUACUCUGUUAGAAAUUUAUAAUUUCCAGUCGAGUUCAUCAGGUUCCUUUACCGUCUCUGGCUGUUGAUCGUGUCUCCGUUGCCCUACGUCGUCAUCAUUAUUAUUAGUUGUCUCUAUCCCACCAUGUACGCCUGUAUAAGGACGCCUCUUAUACCCUUUACAUGAUGACGACAUCAUCGAGCCUUCAACCACCAGUCAGAUUCAAAAUUUUUACUUCUGCCUCAAGACUUAUACCACCGGCUUCCAUCCAACCCUGUAAGUAAGUUAAUAACUAAAAUAUAUAUCUGAUUCUUAGCUUCUUGGUUUUUCUGUUUGUAGAUAAGGGAAGCGGGUUGAUGUCUAUUGGAUUUGUCAAGUCUUGAAUGAUAUUUUGGAUUAUUGACUGCAGUUUAAUAAUUUACAUGUGAUGGUGACAUCUUUUAAGAGAGAUUUCUGCUAUUUGACCCUUUUACCCCUUUUAGGUAUCUUGUUUGAUGACAGCCCUAGAUGCUAUUAAGUUCUUUCCCUGUUAUUUGGUGUUUUCUAUCAUAUGAUGGUUUUGACUGCUUUCCCUUAUCGAAUUAUUGUUUUGCUCUUGGUUGCCUUUUUGUGCUAGCUUUGAUGGUUUUGGGCAUGGUUAUGCCUAUUGAUGUUGUAAGCUUAGCUGUGCUCGCUUCUAGACAAAAGAUAUUUGGGUAUAUUUACUUUUUGUUUCAUAAUUUAAGAUUUUUACUUUUUACCCUAAACGUUGUGGUUGGUGUAAACAAAUCACAAUUGUGGGUGUCUUAAUGUCCGUUGAUGCCAACGUUUAUGAGCCAGGUAAUUGUUAUUCACUUUUGGUAAACUUUAUUCAAUGAAAAAGUCUAAUGUUGGGUUGCUUGCUUUUUACUUGUGUUUUUGUAGCACUUGAAUUGUUGCAUGCUUAUGGAUUUAACAAAAUGGAGAAAGUUAGAUUAACUUUAGUGUUCUUGAUUAACAUGAUCUAAUUUUGUUAGCCUGCAUCUUAUUUUUAUGCAAAUAAGGUGUUUGAUUAAUCGACUCAAAGAAUCUGACUUAUAUGUAUAUGGGUUUAUAUUGAUCUAUCUUGCUGCCAGGUACCUUGAUUUCAAUAAAUUUUAUUUCUUUUGUUGAACUGGAUGAUUAUCGUAAAUUUUGUUGCGUAGCUUGACUUUGGUCACAUCUUUCUUACCUUAACUUUUUAUAUAUUUUUUAGGCCCUAAAGAACCUUAGCUACGGCAGGUUCAAUUAUCCAAGAACUGGUAAAGCCAUCUUCUUUCCUUAUGUGAAUUGCAGGUAUUGUUCUAAGAACAAUAUAAAUGGAUGGAUAAUGAUUCAUUUGUUCUAAAUAGAUGGAUUAUAAGCCAAUUAUUUUAAAUAAAUGGAUCAUGACUCCACUUGACCAAGUUAUCAUUAAAAUUUUACCAUUAGUUAAGAGUUUUUUAUUAUAAAAUAUAUGAAGUGUACUAUUUAUCUAUUUUUUAACUGAUCCGACCAUGCGGCAUUUUAGAUUUUCAUCAGUCUGCUUGUCUACUUUAUAUAUGGGAUAUAUACUUCAUAUGAUUUCUUUAAAAAUCUAGUAGUAGAUUGAUAAGUUAGAUGAUAUAUUGAUGUUGAUGUUGGUGUUGUUAAACCAAACCAACUGGAAAUGUAUAUUAAUAUUUAAUACUUCCAAAUUUGAGGUUCAUAUUACAUCCUCUAAUGGAACUUUGGCCAGAGGUACAGAUCGUUGCUUCAACAGGUAUUAUAGUGUGAUUUCUGUUUGUUUUUUGAUAGUAUAUGUUACGCAUGUAAUAUACUAAUAAAUAAUUGAUACAAUAACAUGCUUCUUUAUAGAUUCUUUUUAUAUGAUCAUAUAUGAUUCGACUUAUAAAUGGUUUAUUUCCAUUUUCUAUUCUCAGACAUAUUAGCAUAUAUGAAGCCCUAGAAUUAAGAGAUGCAGAUUAUGUGUAUCUACGAAAAGGAGUGUUCCCAUUUGAUAUUUUCUAUCACAAUUUGCAUUAAGGAAAUUUUUCAAAAGGAUAAAUGGUUAUUAGAUGUAGAAAGUUAAAUACUUUUGAAUUAUGGUUUUUUUGUUUUAUUUACCAUAUUUUUAGACUUGUUAUAAGCACAAGUUCUUUUUGCUAUUGUAAUUAGGGAUCUUAUGUAUGGAUUUGUAUUUCAAUUAUUAAUAAUAUUGAUUUCUUUUUAUUGUUUCA